UCGGCGCUCAGUUUCACGCCCACCGGCAACCGCUGGGGAAACGGGCAGAUGGGGGGAGUUUAGGACAUCGUUGCCGCCGUGGCCAUAACCUUGGGCUUCUCCGUGAUCCAAUUCCAAUAUCUACCCCGCAAUACCUAGGCAGGAAAUCUACAAGUGGAGCUUAGAAGGUUUGUUCUAAAGUGGAGAACAAGCUAUGCGCCUUUUAGCGAACUUUUAUAUGUUUGCAUACUUUUGCUCUUCGAACAUGAACCUUGGAAAAUUUCAGAAAUUUGUUACUAAGUUACGCUUCAUGUAUGACAGAUUGUCGUUGGGAGUAGAUACACUUAUAUCAAAGAAGUAUUAUGUUAGAUUUACCAUUUCGUAAGAAUAGACAUACCUAUUUAAGGAAAAUUUUACUAAGCUACGCUUCAUGUAUGACAGAUUUAUGUGGGAUGUCUGUUUGGUGCAAAACAAAGAAGUCCGAUUUAAUGAUUUAA